rnacentral:rRNA from 1 species
UACGUAGGCAGCGAGCGUUGUUCGGAAUUACUGGGCGUAAAGAGUGUGUAGGCGGUGCUCCCAGUCUGUUGUGAAAUCUCCCGGCUUAACUGGGAGGGUGCAGCGGAAACUAGAGUGCUAGAGGGUGGGAGAGGUAAGCGGAAUUCCUGGUGUAGCGGUGAAAUGCGUAGAUAUCAGGAGGAACACCUGUGGUGUAGACAGCUUAUUGGACCACUUCUGACGCUGAGACACGAAAGCGUGGGUAGCAAACAGG